ACGAACGCUGGCGGCGUGCCUAACACAUGCAAGUCGAACGGAGAUACAGGGGCUUGCCCCUGUAUCUUAGUGGCGGACGGGCGAGUAACGCGUGAGGAACCUGCCCUUCAGUGGGGAAUAACGGCUGGAAACGGUCGCUAAUACCGCAUGACACAUUGGUACCGCAUGAUACUGAUGUCAAAGGAGCAAUCCGCUGAAGGAUGGCCUUGCGUCCGAUUAGCUAGUUGGUGGGGUAACGGCCUACCAAGGCGACGAUCGGUAGCCGAACUGAGAGGUUGAUCGGCCGCAUUGGGACUGAGACACGGCCCAGACUCCUACGGGAGGCAGCAGUGGGGGAUAUUGGUCAAUGGGGGAAACCCUGAACCAGCAACGCCGCGUGAGGGAAGACGGCCUUCGGGUUGUAAACCUAAGUGAUCAGGGACGAAGGAAGUGACGGUACCUGAAAAGCAAGCUCCGGCUAACUACGUGCCAGCAGCCGCGGUAAUACGUAGGGAGCGAGCGUUGUCCGGAUUUACUGGGUGUAAAGGGUGCGUAGGCGGGAAAGCAAGUCAGGUGUGAAAUACCGGGGCUCAACUCCGGGGCUGCGCUUGAAACUGUUUUUCUUGAGUGAAGUAGAGGCAGGCGGAAUUCCUAGUGUAGCGGUGGAAUGCGUAGAUAUUAGGAGGAACACCAGUGGCGAAGGCGGCCUGCUGGGCUUUAACUGACGCUGAGGCACGAAAGCAUGGGGAGCAAACAGGAUUAGAUACCCUGGUAGUCCAUGCUGUAAACGAUGAUUGCUAGGUGUGGGGGGACUGACCCCUUCCGUGCCGGAGUAAACACAAUAAGCAAUCCACCUGGGGAGUACGACCGCAAGGUUGAAACUCAAAGGAAUUGACGGGGGCCCGCACAAGCAGUGGAGUAUGUGGAUUAAUUCGACGCAACGCGAAGAACCUUACCAGGUCUUGACAUCGAUCUAAAAGGGAUGGAGACAUCCUCAUAGCUAUAGAGAAGACAGGUGGUGCAUGGUUGUCGUCAGCUCGUGUCGUGAGAUGUUGGGUUAAGUCCCGCAACGAGCGCAACCCUUGUUGUUAGUUGCUACGUAAGAGCACUCUAACGAGACUGCCGUUGACAAAACGGAGGAAGGUGGGGACGACGUCAAAUCAUCAUGCCCUUUAUGACCUGGGCUUCACACGUACUACAAUGGCCGUAAACAGAGGGAAGCAAGACCGCGAGGUGGAGCAAAUCCCUAAAAACGGUCCCAGUUCAGAUUGCAGGCUGCAACCCGCCUGCAUGAAGAUGGAAUUGCUAGUAAUCGCGGAUCAGCAUGCCGCGGUGAAUACGUUCCCGGGCCUUGUACACACCGCCCGUCACACCAUGGGAGCCGGUAAUACCCGAAGUCAGUAGCCUAACCGCAAGGGGGGCGCUGCCGAAGGUAGGAUUGGCGACUGGGGUG
rnacentral:rRNA from 1 species